rnacentral:rRNA from 1 species
UACGAAGGGGGCUAGCGUUGUUCGGAUUUACUGGGCGUAAAGCGCACGUAGGCGGACUAUUAAGUCAGGGGUGAAAUCCCGGGGCUCAACCCCGGAACUGCCUUUGAUACUGGUAGUCUCGAGUCCGGAAGAGGUGAGUGGAAUUCCGAGUGUAGAGGUGAAAUUCGUAGAUAUUCGCAAGAACACCAGUGGCGAAGGCGGCUCACUGGCCCGGUACUGACGCUGAGGUGCGAAAGCGUGGGGAGCAAACAGG